GUGACAUGGGUCAGGUGGGGCCCUCAGGAUGGGAGUAGUGUCUUUAGAAGAAGAGACACUGAGACUCACCUUCUGCCUCCCCCCGCACCCAGCACACGGUAAGCAGAGGUUCUGGGUGCACACAGACACCUCACCAGGAACCAAAGCUAAAGCACCCUGACGUGGCAGUUGCAGGAUCCAGAAUGGCGGUAUUCAAGGUGAUGACUUGGGCCAUCAGGGAGUUACUCGGCUUUCCUGCUUUCCUGAAUAUCUCCCAUGUAUACUGGAGGUAUACAUGCUACGAAGCCACUUUGUUUUUCUCCUGUGAAUCUUCCAUUACAGGGGGUCCUAGCCAAGAACACAGAAGUAUAGAGGGAAAAAUUUUUUCCACUACCACACAGUGUCUCUCAUUGGCAGACUGCAAAACCCAGAGGGCAGGAGAGCCCACUGCUUUGGUCCACUCGGGCAGUGUUGUUGGGACCAGAACAGUGACAAGGGCUGAUCUGAAGAACAAAUAGAAGGCAUGAAGCUACAAUAUACACUCCCUGGAUGAUCUCAUGCAUUCCUGUAAUUCUGACUACAACCUAUACACAGAUGACCCCAUACCAUUAACUGCACACCAGUGGCUCCCAAAGCUGAGUGCACCUUAUAAUCACUUGGGAAUUCUUUUUUUUUUUUAUUAAAAAAUAAAAACAAA